rnacentral:rRNA from 1 species
UUAAAUUGAAGAGUUUGAUCAUGGCUCAGAUUGAACGCUGGCGGCAGGCCUAACACAUGCAAGUCGAACGGUAACAGGAAGCAGCUUGCUGCUUUGCUGACGAGUGGCGGACGGGUGAGUAAUGUCUGGGAAACUGCCUGAUGGAGGGGGAUAACUACUGGAAACGGUGGCUAAUACCGCAUAACGU